GCCUUCUUAGCUCAGUGGUAGAGCGUUGCACUUGUACCAGCCGAGGGUUACAAUGCAAAGGUCAGUCGUUCAAUCCGGCUAGGAGGCA
rnacentral:tRNA from 1 species